rnacentral:rRNA from 1 species
CGUAGGGUGCGAGCGUUGUCCGGAUUUAUUGGGCGUAAAGGGCUCGUAGGUGGUUGAUCGCGUCGGAAGUGUAAUCUUGGGGGCUUAAACCCUGAGCGUGCUUUCGUAUACGGGUUGACUUGAGGAAGGUAGGGGAGAAUGGAAUUCCUGGUGGAGCGGUGGAAUGCGCAGAUAUCAGGAGGAACACCAGUGGCGAAGGCGGUUCUCUGGGCCUUCCUGACGCUGAGGAGCGAAAGCGUGGGGAGCGAACAGGCUU